rnacentral:sRNA from 18 species
UCAGAUCUCUAUCGUUUCUUACGGUAAAGAAAAACCAGCAGUUCUCGGUCAUGACGAAGCGGCCUAUGCCAAAAACCGUCGUGCCGUUCUGGUAUAUUAAGAGAAUCGCAUGAGCAGUAACUUCAGACGUCACCUGUUG